rnacentral:rRNA from 1 species
UACGUAGGGCGCGAGCGUUGUCCGGAAUUAUUGGGCGUAAAGAGCUCGUAGGCGGCCUGUUGCGUCCGCUGUGAAAUCCCAGGGCUCAACCCUGGGCGUGCAGUGGAUACGGGCAGGCUGGAGGCAGGCAGGGGGAGAACGGAAUUCCCGGUGUAGCGGUGAAAUGCGCAGAUAUCGGGAGGAACACCGGUGGCGAAGGCGGUUCUCUGGGCCUGUACUGACGCUGAGGCGCGAAAGCUAGGGGAGCAAACAGG